UAGGGAAUCUUCGGCAAUGGGGGGAACCCUGACCGAGCAACGCCGCGUGAGUGAAGAAGGAUUUCGGUUCGUAAAACUCUGUUGUUAGAGAAGAACAGCGCAUAGAGUAACUGUUAUGCGUGUGACGGUAUCUAACCAGAAAGCCACGGCUAACUACGUGCCAGCAGCCGCGGUAAUACGUAGGUGGCAAGCGUUGUCCGGAUUUAUUGGGCGUAAAGCGAGCGCAGGCGGUCAAUUAAGUCUGAUGUGAAAGCCCCCGGCUCAACCGGGGAGGGUCAUUGGAAACUGGUUGACUUGAGUGCAGAAGAGGAGAGUGGAAUUCCAUGUGUAGCGGUGAAAUGCGUAGAUAUAUGGAGGAACACCAGUGGCGAAGGCGACUCUCUGGUCUGUAACUGACGCUGAGGCUCGAAAGCGUGGGGAGCGAACAGG
rnacentral:rRNA from 1 species